AGAUUGAACGCUGGCGGCACGCCUUACACAUGCAAGUCGAACGGCAGCACGGGAGCAAUCCUGGUGGCGAGUGGCGAACGGGUGAGUAGUAUAUCGGAACGUGCCCAGUAAUGGGGGAUAGCCCGGCGAAAGCCGGAUUAAUACCGCAUACGACCUACGGGUGAAAGCGGGGGAUCGCAAGACUUCGCGUUAUUGGAGCGGCCGAUAUCAGAUUAGCUUGUUGGCGGGGUAAAAGCCCACCAAGGCGACGAUCUGUAGCUGGUCUGAGAGGACGACCAGCCACACUGGGACUGAGACACGGCCCAGACUCCUACGGGAGGCAGCAGGUGGGGAAUUUUGGACAAGUGGGCGCAAGCCUGAUCCAGCCAUGCCGCGCGUGGGAAGAAGGCCUUCGGGUUGUAACCACGUUUUGUCGAGGAAGAAACGGCUACCUACUAAUAUUAGGAGCUAAUAGACGUACUAGAAGAAUAAGCACCGACUAACUACGUGCCAGC
rnacentral:rRNA from 1 species